CUACGGGGGGCAGCAGUGAGGAAUAUUGCACAAUGGGGGGAACCCUGAUGCAGCAACGCCGCGUGGAGGAUGACGCAUUUCGGUGUGUAAACUCCUUUUAUAUGUCAAGAAAAUGACGGUAGCAUAUGAAUAAGCACCGGCUAACUCCGUGCCAGCAGCCGACGGUAAUACGGAGGGUGCAAGCGUUACUCGGAAUCACUGGGCGUAAAGGACGCGUAGGCGGGUUGGAAAGUCAGGUGUGAAAUCCUACAGCUUAACUGUAGAACUGCACUUGAAACUUCGAAUCUAGAGUAUGGGAGGGGGAGAUGGAAUUAGUGGUGUAGGGGUAAAAUCCGUAGAUAUCACUAGGAAUACCUAAAGCGAAGGCGAUCUCCUGGAACAUUACUGACGCUAAGGCGUGAAAGCGUGGGGAGCAAACAGGAUUAGAUACCCGGGUAGUC
rnacentral:rRNA from 1 species